rnacentral:sRNA from 1 species
CAGUGAAGGUAGGGAGGGAUUAUCGAAUAUGCGAUUGGCUAUACCAUGGAGAGGCCCGAAAGCUGGCCCCUGGCCCACCUGUGUCUCUCUGCCCCUUGGGAUGAGGCCCACAAAAUCCAAGGCAACUAGAUAGACGACUUUGACGAAAUGGUGUUAUCGAAGGAGGAGAGUGAAUGUCCUGAGCCAGGCCGUUGCAAUGAGACAGAGGGACAUGGUUAGUGACUGUACGCAGUAGAAGUCGACUUCCUGAGAAAUCCUAAUAUUAGCUUAAUUAGAGGACAAAACCUCUACAACGGAAUGACAUAGGCUAUGCGGUUGGGCUUGUGCAAAUUGUAAAUCUGACAUCUCGUGAGAGGCUAGCUCGUAUUGCAUGGGAAUUUUUUUUUUUUUUUUUUUUUUUUUUUUUUUUUGGCGGUGUGGGUCUAAUAAUGGGG